UACGUAGGGGGCGAGCGUUGUCCGGAUUCAUUGGGCGUAAAGAGCUCGUAGGCGGUUCGCUAAGUCAGGUGUGAAAUCUCCACGCUCAACGUGGAGGGGCCACCUGAUACUGGCGUGACUCGAGUCCGGUAGGGGAGUGUGGAAUUCCCGGUGUAGCGGUGAAAUUCGUAGAUAUUCGCAAGAACACCAGUGGCGAAGGCGGCUCACUGGCCCGGUACUGACGCUGAGGUGCGAAAGCGUGGGGAGCAAACAGG
rnacentral:rRNA from 1 species